UGGGGAAUAUUGCACAAUGGGCGCAAGCCUGAUGCAGCCAUGCCGCGUGUAUGAAGAAGGCCUUCGGGUUGUAAAGUACUUUCAGUCGGGAGGAAGGUGGUAAGGUUAAUAACCUUAUCAAUUGACGUUACCGACAGAAGAAGCACCGGCUAACUCCGUGCCAGCAGCCGCGGUAACACGGAGGGUGCAAGCGUUAAUCGGAAUUACUGGGCGUAAAGCGCACGCAGGCGGUUUGUUAAGUCAGAUGUGAAAUCCCCGGGCUCAACCUGGGAACUGCAUCUGAUACUGGCAAGCUUGAGUCUCGUAGAGGGGGGUAGAAUUCCAGGUGUAGCGGUGAAAUGCGUAGAGAUCUGGAGGAAUACCGGUGGCGAAGGCGGCCCCCUGGACGAAGACUGACGCUCAGGUGCGAAAGCGUGGGGAGCAAACAGG
rnacentral:rRNA from 1 species